CCCCAUUUGAUGAAUUACUUGUGAUUCUCUAAGUUGAAUCCUUUUUUCCUAUUUCUUGAAUAUGUUUUUAACUUAGCAAUUUCUUAUAUGCAGUUUUCUGAACUUUGGUGGAAUUAAAGUACUUCAGAAGUGAAUAUCAAAUGAAGAAAAAAAUCAGGCAGCUGCAUAUGUUGGCAUGAUUGAUGAGAUCUGCUACAGUCAAGCAAGCAGCCCUGGGUGACCAGUUUACCCUCCCCGGCUAGGGUUCCAGCUGCCAGUUGCUCCCAUUCUGUGACAGCUUCUCCUUCUCCUCACCUUGUCAUCAAGCCAAGAUUGUACACUGUAGGAGUACAGCGACUGAAUAUUUGUUGAGAGUCCAUGGUAACCCAGCAACUGGAUCAUCAGUACACUAUAACUCCUGCUUUUAGAAGAAACUAAAUUC
rnacentral:lncRNA from 1 species